rnacentral:rRNA from 1 species
GAUGAACGCUGGCGGCGUGCCUAAUACAUGCAAGUCGAGCGAACAGACGAGGAGCUUGCUCCUUCGACGUUAGCGGCGGACGGGUGAGUAACACGUAGGUAACCUACCUAUAAGACUGGGAUAACUUCGGGAAACCGGAGCUAAUACCGGAUAAUAUUUCGAACCGCAUGGUUCGAUAGUGAAAGAUGGCUUUGCUAUCACUUAUAGAUGGACCUGCGUCGUAUUAGCUAGUUGGUAAGGUAACGGCUUACCAAGGCAACGAUACGUAGCCGACCUGAGAGGGUGAUCGGCCACACUGGAACUGAGACACGGUCCAGACUCCUACGGGAGGCAGCAGUAGGGAAUCUUCCGCAAUGGGCGAAAGCCUGACGGAGCAACGCCGCGUGAGUGAUGAAGGUCUUCGGAUCGUAAAACUCUGUUAUUAGGGAAGAACAAACGUGUAAGUAACUGUGCACGUCUUGACGGUACCUAAUCAGAAAGCCACGGCUAACUACGUG